AGAAAAGCAUAACAAGUUGUUUGAACAUGGUAAAAUCAUAAAACAACACCAAAGAUCAGAGAAGAGACCUUUAAAAAUAAUUUAGGAGAAAAUCCUAAUCGUUGAACAAAUGAAGCGUCACUUUGAAAGAAAAUCGGAGAACUUUUGAGAGUAACACUUAAGAAAUUCAUAAUAUGCACAGAUCUAAGAUAGAUCAAAAGAAAAUUACAAGAUCCAAAAGAUUAGGGUUUCGGAGAACCCAGAAAAGGUAAGAAAGACUUUGAAUGUUAUCGAUCUAAUCAGGAAAGUCAAUGAUCUGCCUUGAAAGGCCAUGAAUGGCCGGAGAAAGGCCAUAAACAGAGGUCGAGUAAUGUCUGGACCAGAUCCCUUGGAGGUCUGGUCAUGAAAUCACAGAAACAAACAGCCAGGAGUCGUAGGAGGUUGAUACACAUCUCCAAUGGCCACGAGAAGCCAUGGAUUAGGCAAGGGUUAAUGCGGAUUAGGGUGAAAUUAGAUGGCGGCGGCUAGGGUUCAUAAGUGACUGCAAAAAGAGUUAAGAGGGAAGGGAUUCAGAGG
rnacentral:lncRNA from 1 species